AGGAAGUAGAGAGUAAGAUGACGUGCCUGCACCCAUCUGUGGGCCCAGAGAUGGCCAAACACAUCAGGAGUUCAGAGCAGAAUUUGCAAGUUCUAGGUGCAGGCAGUGGAGUCCCUGGGUCCACGAGCUUAAUCCAUGCUGACCAUGCAGCCAGGAUCCCAAGAAGCCCUAGGAGGUGUACCAGAACCAGGGGGUCUUUGAACCAUUCCUCCCCACUCCAGAGACUAAGAUGAAAACACCGUCCAGCUCCGGGCUUGUUCAGGAAACCUUCAGCCUCAGCAUUUCUUCUGAACUUGGACAAAUAGCUGAUAGUCCCGUUGGGCUCUAUCUCUGCUUCAUGACCGUGGCCUUUCUCCUCUCAAGCAUCAAAUUCUGGCAUCUUUCAGGGUCCUGAAGAUGGGGAUCCUGGGUCUUCCAGAGCCUGUCUCCUGAGGGGCUGCCCU